rnacentral:rRNA from 1 species
CACCGCGGUUAUACGAGAGGCCCAAGUUUAUAGGCACCGGCACAAAGAGUGGUUAAGAAUACCCAAUAGUAAAGUCAAGAUUCUCCUAAGCUGUCAUACGCAACCGAAGAAACAAAGCCCCUUCACGAAAGUAACCUUACUAUAUCUGAACCCACGACAACUAGGACA